rnacentral:lncRNA from 1 species
AAGAGGCUGAGGAGGAAGAGGAGGAGGAAAGUGCCGAAGGUCCAAAGGUCGGAAUUUUCCGGGUCCCGUUCGGGCUCCAGCGGCAGCGGCAGCGCCACGAAAGUCGGGGGAAAAUCUGGGGGAAAAAAGGGGGAAAUUGGGAAAAAAGGGGAAAAAAAAUACUCGGGAAAAAUCCGCGUUUUAACCGGAAAAAAUCCAAAUUUUACAGCAAAAAAUUCGCGUUUUUCAGCAAAAAAUUCACAUUUUACACCCAAAAAAUCGAUAUUUUACCCACAAAAAAAUCUACAUUUUCCUCCCAAAAAUCCACAUUUUCCACCCCGAAAAAUCCACAUUUUCUACCCAGAAAAAUCCACAUUUUUUCACCCCAAAAAAUCCACAUUUUCCUCCCAGAAAUCCACAUUUUCAUCCAAAAAAAUCCACAUUAUCCUUCCAAAAAUUCUCAUUUUCCACCCAGAAAAAUCCACGUUUUCCAGCAAAAAAUCCAAAUUUUCCAGCAAAAAAUCCGCAUUUUCCACUCAAAAAAUUCGCAUUUUCCUCCCAAAAAAAUCCCCAUUUUCCACCCAAAAAUCCGCAUUUUCCAGCAGAAAAUUCACGUUUUCCAGCAUAAAAUUCACAUUUUCCACCCAAAAAUCGGCAUUUCCCACCCAAAAAUUCGCAUUUUCCUCCCAAAAGUUUGCAUUUUCCAGCAAAAAAUCCGCAUUUUCCUCCCAAAAAUUUACAUUUUACCCACAAAAAAUCCAAAUUUUCCAGCAAAAAAUCCACAUUUUACACCCAAAAAAUCGAUAUUUUCCUCCCAAAAAAAUCUGCAUUUUCUGCCCAAAACUUUGCAUUUUCCACCCAAAAUUCCACAUUUUCCACCAAAAAUCCGCAUUUUCCACCCAAAAAAUCCACAUUUUCCUCCCAAAAAUUUGCAUUUUACCCACAAAAAAAUCCACAUUUUCCACCCAAAAAUUCGCAUUUUCUGCCCAAAAAAAUCCACAUUUUCCACCCAAAAAAUCCGCAUUUUCCAGCAUAAAAUUCACGUUUACCAGCAUAAAAUUCACAUUUUCCACCCAAAAAUUCGCAUUUUCCACUGAAAAAUUCGCAUUUUCCACCCCAAAAAAUCCGCAUUUUCCACCCAAAAAAAAAUCCACAUUUUCCUCCCAAAAAUCCACAUUUUACUUCAUAAAAAUCUGA